rnacentral:rRNA from 1 species
GAGUUUGAUCAUGGCUCAGAUUGAACGCUGGCGGUAGGCCUUAUACAUGCAAGUCGUGCGAGAAAGUAUCUUCGGAUAUGAGUAGAGCGGCGGACGGGUGAGUAACGCGUAGGAAUCUACCUAGUAGAAGGGGAUAGCCCGGGGAAACUCGGAUUAAUACCGUAUACCUCCUUAGGGAGAAAGAGGGCCUCUCUUUGAUGCUCUCGCUACUAAAUGAGCCUGCGUAAGAUUAGCUAGUUGGUGAGGUAAUGGCUCACCAAGGCGACGAUCUUUAGCUGGUCUGAGAGGACGAUCAGCCACAUUGGGACUGAGACACGGCCCAGACUCCUACGGGAGGCAGCAGUAGGGAAUAUUGGACAAUGAGCGCAAGCUUGAUCCAGCCAUACCGCGUGUGUGAAGAAGGCCUUCGGGUUGUAAAGCACUUUAAGCAGGGAGAAAAAGUUAUAGGUUAAUACCCUAUGACCGUGAUGUUACCUGCAGAAUAAGCACCGGCUAAUUCCGUGCCAGCAGCCGCGGUAAUACGGAAGGUGCAAGCGUUAAUCGGAAUUACUGGGCGUAAAGCGCGCGUAGGUGGUUUGUUAAGUUGGAUGUGAAAGCCCUGGGCUCAACCUAGGAACUGCAUCCAAAACUAACUCACUAGAGUACGAUAGAGGGAGGUAGAAUUCAUAGUGUAGCGGUGGAAUGCGUAGAUAUUAUGAAGAAUACCAGUGGCGAAGGCGGCCUCCUGGAUCUGUACUGACACUGAGGUGCGAAAGCGUGGGUGGCGAACAGGAUUAGAUACCCUGGUAGUCCACGCCGUAAACGAUGACAACUAGCUGUUGGGAGACAAUGUCUUUCAGUGGCGCAGCUAACGUUUUAAGUU